UGGGGAAUAUUGGACAAUGGGCGCAAGCCUGAUCCAGCCAUGCCGCGUGAGUGAUGAAGGCCCUAGGGUUGUAAAGCUCUUUCACCGGUGAAGAUAAUGACGGUAACCGGAGAAGAAGCCCCGGCCAACUUCGUGCCAGCAGCCGCGGUAAUACGAAGGGGGCUAGCGUUGUUCGGAUUUACUGGGCGUAAAGCGCACGUAGGCGGACUAUUAAGUCAGGGGUGAAAUCCCGGGGCUCAACCCCGGAACUGCCUUUGAUACUGGUAGUCUUGAGUUCGAGAGGGGUGAGUGGAAUUCCGAGUGUAGAGGUGAAAUUCGUAGAUAUUCGGGGGAACACCAGUGGCGAAGGCGGCUCACUGGCUCGAUACUGACGCUGAGGUGCGAAAGCGUGGGGAGCAAACAGG
rnacentral:rRNA from 1 species